GCCAAUGGUUAGAUGAAGAAGUGGUCAAUCGAGAUGUAUGCAUUCUUCUGUGCCCAUGGUAUUCUCGGCCGUCGGUUAACCAUGGAUUUUCCGACGAUUUGCAACUUUGUUAGGGCAAACCUGAGGAUCGCGGAGGCAUCUGGUUAGGAACCGGCUGCAUAAUGUUUGAAUAUUCUACGCAUUUGAGGUAUGAUUCGUCCUCGUCGUUACUUGUAGUCACUGCAUGCCUUGAGUUCUUGAAUCGGAUUCAAAACCAGGCGGAUUCGAUCGGCUUCUGUCGAGGCGCUUACAUCCUGUGGCUCGAAAUAAUCUUACCAAUGUUGAAGUCUCGCAGUGAGUUGGGGAUAAACAGCCCUGAGUUUUUUCUCAUUUCAUUGGGCGGAACUUACUUACUUUUUUGACGAAAGACAAUUAAGCCUAACCGAUCAUGACUUCUUGUCGCUCCGAACAACGCCGAUGGAUGUCUGGGGAGAUUUGUGAGUGCUGAUUCUUCAGGGAGGCAUGCUCUGUGUGUGGCAAUGGAUAAAAAAGGAGCAACACAUUGGGAAUGAUGAGUCUACCUGCAGUUCUUGUUCUGCAUUUAUACAGUACAUUUGGGUAUUGUUUAGUUCAUGAGCUGCUUAGAUUUAUGGCGGGUCAAAGGGGACCAUCACUACAAUUUGUAUAUUAUACCAGUGUCAGGACGUUGGACUAUUUCUGCUGGUACUGCUUUGUUUUAAAUGAAAAUUCUCUUAAUGAUUCCUUUCAAGUGGAAUAUCAGUAUGAAGAAUUAAAGGUAGACCAUAUGGAUUUUGUAUAUCUUUGCCUCUAGUGCGCUACAAAUUGCUAUGCCAUUGGAUAUGCAUAUGAAUACUUGAAUAUGAGGUUUACCUUCUUUAUCUUAUCCUGUUUGUGGGUGAUAUUCUGCUGGUAUGCUGCCUAUUUGUUAUUUUUCUAUCUUGAACAUGUCUCUUAAUUCAUAAUAGUUAUUAGUUCCCAUUAAAUGUCAAAGCCGCUGAGUACCAUCUUGAUAUCUCCAUGGGGUUUGUGAUAAUUUUGCUGACAUCUUACAUUUUAAUAGAUAGUGUAAAUGGGAUCGUCUAAGGUUCACUGAGGCAUCAAAGGUUGUAAUUCUAAAUGCAAAGUACUAGCAAUGUUAGUGGGUCACAAUUUUUAUUUUCUUAAUAAUCUUUGCGAUCUCCUUCCUGGUCCCUUGCUCUUUUGUUUCCUUCAUAUGGUUUCUAAGGUCAAAGGGACAUUACUUAUACGAAUCCCUUAAAGAGUUUUUCCUCCAGUCGAGAGAAACGUGAUUUUCAUACUUGUCAUUGUGGUGAGAAAAUAAAAUCUAUGGAACUUUCCUCUUCCCGCAUAUUUUGAGCAACUAUACCCAAUGCCCUUCUAGCCUUUUUUCGCUUUGCUCAAUUUCAAAAAACUCUUCAAUGAAAUGAUUGAAUGACAUAACUUUCAAACUUCUGGCUUCAUAACCUUUUUCCCUUUGCUCAGUUUUAAAAACUCUUUCAUGAAAUGAUUGAAUGACAUAACUUUCAACAUUCUGGCUUCAUAGCCUUUUUCCCUUGCCCCAUUUUGAAAAAUCUUCCAUGAAAUGAUUGAAUGAUAUAACUCUCAAUAUUCUGACUGAAUGCUGUUUAAUACCAAAACUUCAGCUUGAAUACUGCUGGGGUGCCAAACAUUUAAUUGGACCACAGGUUUCUUGCGCCAGUUUUUGUGUGGCCAUUUCUAGGCAUUCUCCUCGUUGGUAUCCCUUGAAAAGUGAAAUUAAAGGGUCAUCCAUUGCAAGGGGAACAACUCUCUCUCUCUCUCUCUCUGUUCAAUUUACUUUUAUUCCUCUGUAUCGUUGACGGUUUUACUUUGACAGGUUCAUGUAUGCUUGUUUUCAUUCGAGAAGAUACCAAUUCAGAAAGAAGAAGGUGGCUGAUCCACGACUAUAUCCUGAAGGUUAAAUAGCCGUGGGGAUGAUUCUGAUCUGACAUAUAAAGUUACAGGCUGGGAUUCCUUACAAGUCCUUUCUUUCUGUUAAAUGAGUUUAAAGUAGAGCUCAAAUGGUUGUUUUUUGCAUGCAUAUCUUGUACUCUAUGAUAGUUAUUUUGACCCAGUUAUCUUGAAGUAACUCCAAUUGCAGGGUGCUUUGGAAGAAACCAUAUCCUGGGGUGGCGAAAAUCUACAGCUUUUCCAACUUCGUGGCUAUAAAUUCCCUAGUUUUGGCCCAUCAUCAGCAGGCGACUGCUACAGUAUACGACUUUCAUAAUUGUCCAUGAGAUUGAUGUUUAACGUCUUACUUGAAUUCUUUUAAUGUUAAAUAACAUCAAAUAAUAAUUGGUUAUUGCGAGCAUUAAUUAUUGACUAAUUAAGUCAUGUUUAGGGAUGCACACGGAUCUUUGUAAUACCACAUUAAUUUGGAAAUCAUGUAUGUGACUUUCCAUAUAAUUGCAAUUUGGCAAGGUGGUAUUUAUUUAGAUAUUUUGGCCUUAUUAUUAUUUGAAAUUACUUGUACUUCUUAGUAAUAUUUUUGUGGCCGUGGCAACUCCAACGUGGUAAGUUGUAUUGUAACCAUUCUCCCUCUUAUCCGGACA